CAAAAUAGUGAUAUGGAGCAAAACCCUAAAAACGGUACUCAGUUCGGAUUGAAGGCUGAAAUUCGCCUUCAUGAAGCUGGAAUUGCUAGUAAUGGCAGGUCAGCAUACUGCCGUGAAUACGUUCCCGGGCCUUGUACACACCGCCCGUCACACCAUGAGAGUUGGGAAUACCCGAAGCCUGUGAGCUAACUGUAAGGAGGCAGCAGUCGAAGGUAGAAUCAAUGAUUGGGGUGAAGUCGUAACAAGGUAUC
rnacentral:rRNA from 1 species